AGGGAAGGACCAACUGAUAUGUAACCCGGGUGUAAAUUUUAACUUCCAUUUCCUCAUUCUCCGAUUUUUCACUCUUUAGGCCCUUUAUCUCUCAAAUCUCGCGAUAGUUUUAAUAUAAUGUCAGCAAUUCUCGCGAGACUACUACACUGCCAAUCGCUGUCGAGUAUCGGGGUCACAUGUACUACUGCAGCCUAUCUGCUAGGUAUAUUAGCUAGAGCGGGGAAGUAUGAAAGAUUGGGACGCGUUGGGAGGAGCUGAGCUGUAGGAGCCAACUACAGUGAGCCGAGAGGAGAGGAGAUGAGAUGAGAUGAGAUGAGAAAAACCCGGUUGUGUGAGAUAUAAACUGAGGAAUUGGCCAGGUUUUGAUGGCAAGCUGAAGAUCCAGGCCUUGGGCCUAAGAACGAUUGCACUUUUGGUGCAUGAAGACUUCUGAUUCUCCUGCCAGGCUGGUAGGAGGCUCCUUGCAGCCAGCAAACAAUUUGUCCCCACUCUGAUCUGACUUAUAUCUCCGCAGGCUUCCACCUUCUGCCUGGAUGCUGCUGCAGUCGAUUCCUGCAGGAUGAGAUCGCUUCUAAAACGUCAAUAAAGAUCACGCACACCGCGACCAGAUGAAAUUCACGCAGUAGUCCCAGAAAUAAAAAUG